UUACAGUUUUACAAAAGUUUACAGCUGUUGUAGACGCCAAGCGCGAUUUUUUAUGCAAAAACAACAUAAAACGAACAGCAAUAUGUGUGCAUAUUUUUUUAAACUUUUUUAAAUAAAAGAUUAAAAUUAUAAAACAAAAAAAUAUAUACAAAUAAAUAAA